rnacentral:lncRNA from 11 species
GAGUAGACUGCAGUCCAGGCCCAUUCCAGCUGGGUGUGACUCAGCAACCUCCAAGGAGGGAGCAAGAGCUGAGUUCACAAGGCCUGGGAGGAGGAAUGGUCACAUCGAUGCUUGCCAGCAACAAGGAGAGGGGAGAGAGAGAAAAUGAGGAGGAGAUAUAAAUUGAAAACAGGUAUUUACUCAUUUUAAUUAAUUUUUUUAAAA